CUCUCUCUCUCUCUCUCGAUCAAGUAUAUAUGAGUUUUCUUCUAUAAAUGUAUAUAUCUGUCUCUCACAAAAAAAUUUCUCUACUGCUCUCUCACAAAUCUCCUCUUGAAAUCCGCUCCACCAUCGUUGAUCGACGCCGCCAGCCCACCAGCUCGCCUCCCUCUAAUCAUUAGGUUGAAGAUUCAGAGGCUAAGAAGAAUCUGUGCACUCAGCAGGAUUUUCCCCACAUGAAUCCUUGAUUCAGAGUAGUUAGUGGAUUUGGAGAUUUCUUCUGAUUGACAUGCUCCUAUUGUACCCCCAUUUAUGGCUCAUGGAAAUGGAAUCCACCCUGUGCCUUUUCUUGAUCCAUCUAUACCAUGUGGCAGCCCUACAGGAGUUGGUGGAAUUUACAAUUUGAGAGGAUCACCACCGCUGCUGAUUGAACUAUUGUACAGGAAAGUUUUGGAAGACUGCAUGACAAGGGAUAUUGUAUGAUGUAAUAUGUUUAUCAGGAUUUUUGUAAUAUGUUCAUUAUUUUGGGGGAUAUUGUUCAGCAGUGAAUGACAAAGAUAUUAAAUGGAGACUUUUUUGAAUGA